GGCACUCUCCUGAUCCACGUCUAAAAUCCAUAUAUGAAAUGAAGAACAGCAGAAUCCUUUCUAGACCUAUGCUGGACCAUGGGCAUGGCCUAUAAGCCAGCGUCAUCCUGUGUGUCAGCUGAAAGGGCACAAGACAUGGAGUAUUUAAGAAAUGGAAAUAAGGAUAAAUUAUAUUAAAUUGUCUUUCUGGGCUGCAUUCACAACACAUCAACCUAUACUCUACUUCAUCAUCUUCAAUACAAAUGCAACCUCCUGGAUCAAGGGAAGCUAAUGGAAGAGCUAGAGACAUCUUAUAGCCAUGUUGCUGCAAAUUCCCAGAAUAAAGACCUACGGAUUCCAACGCCUGAGCUUUCAGCUGAAUCCCAGGGAGAAAAUGGUCUCAGCUGGCAUCCUCUUUUCUGUAGGAAAUCGCAUCCCUUCACAGAAGUACUACAAGAUAUCCAUGGCAUCUAUUUGUACUGAUAUGGCUUGUUCCCGGUCUGCCUCUUUAAUUUUUUUACAGCAUCUGGAACAAAACAAGAGGUAGUAACAUCUGAACUAGGAAGAAGAACUGGUGUUUCUAUGAGAAAUUAUGCUUUAUUUACCAAGUUCCAAGGCAUAAUUUUGGACUUUGGUGUUUUCUUGACUAAUACUUAAAAACAAAUA